rnacentral:rRNA from 1 species
ACAUGCAAGUCGAGCGAACAGAUAAGGAGCUUGCUCCUUUGACGUUAGCGGCGGACGGGUGAGUAACACGUGGGUAACCUACCUAUAAGACUGGGAUAACUUCGGGAAACCGGAGCUAAUACCGGAUAACAUUUGGAACCGCAUGGUUCUAAAGUGAAAGAUGGUUUUGCUAUCACUUAUAGAUGGACCCGCGCCGUAUUAGCUAGUUGGUAAGGUAACGGCUUACCAAGGCGACGAUACGUAGCCGACCUGAGAGGGUGAUCGGCCACACUGGAACUGAGACACGGUCCAGACUCCUACGGGAGGCAGCAGUAGGGAAUCUUCCGCAAUGGGCGAAAGCCUGACGGAGCAACGCCGCGUGAGUGAUGAAGGGUUUCGGCUCGUAAAACUCUGUUAUUAGGGAAGAACAAACGUGUAAGUAACUGUGCAUGUCUUGACGGUACCUAAUCAGAAAGCCACGGCUAACUACGUGCCAGCAGCCGCGGUAAUACGUAGGUGGCAAGCGUUAUCCGGAAUUAUUGGGCGUAAAGCGCGCGUAGGCGGUUUCUUAAGUCUGAUGUGAAAGCCCACGGCUCAACCGUGGAGGGUCAUUGGAAACUGGGAAACUUGAGUGCAGAAGAGGAAAGUGGAAUUCCAUGUGUAGCGGUGAAAUGCGCAGAGAUAUGGAGGAACACCAGUGGCGAAGGCGACUUUCUGGUCUGUAACUGACGCUGAUGUGCGAAAGCGUGGGGAUCAAACAGGAUUAGAUACCCUGGUAGUCCACGCCGUAAACGAUGAGUGCUAAGUG